CUACGGGAUGCUCCAGUGAGGAAUAUUGCACAAUGGGGGGAACCCUGAUGCAGCAACGCCGCGUGGAGGAUGACGCAUUUCGGUGUGUAAACUCCUUUUAUAUGUCAAGAAAAUGACGGUAGCAUAUGAAUAAGCACCGGCUAACUCCGUGCCAGCAGCCGCGGUAAUACGGAGGGUGCAAGCGUUACUCGGAAUCACUGGGCGUAAAGGACGCGUAGGCGGGUUGGAAAGUCAGGUGUGAAAUCCUACAGCUUAACUGUAGAACUGCACUUGAAACUUCUAAUCUAGAGUAUGGGAGGGGGAGAUGGAAUUAGUGGUGUAGGGGUAAAAUCCGUAGAUAUCACUAGGAAUACCUAAAGCGAAGGCGAUCUCCUGGAACAUUACUGACGCUGAGGCACGAAAGCGUGGGGAGCAAACAGGAUUAGAUACCCCCGUAGUC
rnacentral:rRNA from 1 species